AGGUCAGCUGAACAAGAGCAAGAUGAUAACCUAAAAUGAAGUAUGGUCUUGUAACAUAUGUAUUUCCUAAAACGUGAAUGCUUGUUGGCUUAUUCAUGUUAAGUAUGAAAUUUUCAACAUGAUGCAUGCUCAAGUGACACUGUACAGAUCUCAUUCCUUGAUGCUAACUAAAUUUGAAUCUGUUGACCAUCAAAGUGGGAGAACUCAAGGUGGAACAUUAAACAAAAACUUGGAUGUGGUCCACGAGGAUAUAGCUGAAUAUGAUAAGUGCAUGUGGGUUUCUAACAUGACAUUUCCAGCCACUAACAUCCAAUGGGACAACUGGCAAUUUGCACACAUAUGGAACCCAACCAAGCAAGUGGGUGUUACAUAAUCAACCAACCUCUUUUCUG
rnacentral:lncRNA from 1 species